GGUGCUGCACAUGACCUCAUCCACUCAGUGGUAGGUAUUGGUGCUGCACAACACCUCAUCCACUCAGUGGUAGGUUUUGGUGCUGCACAUCACCUCAUCCACUCAGUGGUAGGUUUUGGUGCUGCACAACACCUCAUCCACUCAGUGGUAGGUUUUGGUGCUGCACAUGACCUCAUCCACUCAGUGGUAGGUAUUGGUGCUGCACAACACCUCAUCCACUCAGUGGUAGGUAUUGGUGCUGCACAACACCUCAUCCACUCAGUGGUAGGUAUUGGUGCUGCAUAUCACCUCAUCCACUCAGUGGUAGGUAUUGGUGCUGCACAUGACCUCAUCCACUCACUGGUACAGUAGGUUAAGCAUUGUUUCUUGCCUUUUUAAAUAUCACAACAGUGCUUUCUUUGAAUAAAGGUUUGGAUGGUCCAAUUUUCAAAGGUCUCUAUCGUUGUUAUUGCAAUGUAGGGCAAACUAAGACACUAACAAAAUUAACAUUUGGCUUCAUUGACAUGUACCCCAUAUAGACAUUGUACUGAA
ensembl:lncRNA